AAAGUACUCCCUCCGUCCCAAAAUUCUUGUCUUAGAUUUAUCUAGAUACGGAUGUAUCAAGUCACAUUUUAGUAUUAGAUACAUCCGUAUCUAGACAAAUCUAAGACAAGAAUUUUGGGUCAGAGGGAGUAGUUG
rnacentral:pre_miRNA from 1 species